AGUUUGGUCGUGUGUGUGUGUGUGUGUGUGUGUGUGUACACACACACACACACACACACACACACACUGUUUUGUUUA